UGGAUCACCUCCUAACAGGGAGACAACAAAAUGUUUAAUAUUAUUAUUUUGUCACCUUAGGUCGAUCGGUAUCUCACGUUCUUAAUUUGUUAAGAAUUUCAUUUCCUAAGUUUUUCUAGGUCACACCCAUUAUUUUUCCUGGGCCAUUAGCUCAGGUGGUUAGAGCGCACCCCUGAUAAGGGUGAGGUCCCUGGUUCAAGUCCAGGAUGGCCCAUAUCUCUAUGUUGGGGGUAUAGCUCAGUUGGUAGAGCGUCUGCUUUGCAAGCAGGAUGUCAGCGGUUCGAGUCCGCUUACCUCCACUGAUUACCACCUCUUCCAUAACCGGUAGAAAGGGAAUUUUUUGAGUUGUGAACAUUAUUCUGAACGAAUCUAGCUUCCUAAUGAAAUCAUUAAGAUGCUGGACUCAUUGAAUUAAUUUCAUUGUUUUCAGAGAACCUUGACAACUGCAUAGAUUUUUUUAAAGACAAUAAGCAUCUUUAAUGAUGCAGAUUUAUUAUUUGUGCGAAUGCAUUAAUAACAAUUCUAUUAAGCUGACGCUUCAAUUUUUGAAGUUAUUGGUCAAGCUACAAAGGGCUCACGGAGGAUGCCUAGGCACACAGAGGCGAUGAAGG
rnacentral:tRNA from 1 species